ACCCCCCCACCAGCUCAGGAGCGCCCACUGUGGGCAGCCCCCUCACUCUGAGACCUCUCCAUUAGUGCAUGUCCAUAGGAUCCUGUUUGUGCAUCAUGUUUACUAGACAGAGUGUAAAAAACUAAUUUCCCCUCGUGGGAUCAAUAAAGUAUAAAUUAUUAUUA